AUGGAGAUCAUGGGCGUGCAGGUGCAGAGGACGUUCGUUGUGCCCCCGGCGGCCGCGCCCUCCGAGGAGGUGCCGCUCACCGUCUUCGACCUCGCCGCGCCGACCUACCACGUCACGGUGCUCUUCGCCUUCUCGCCGCCCAACCCGACCAACCAGGCCCUCCUCGACGCCCUCUCCGCCACGCUCCCGCGCUUCCCGCUCCUCACCGCCACCAUGCGCCUCGACCGCCGGGUCGGCACGCGUCCAUGCUUCGUCACCGGGAAAGGCGGCGCGGGCGCCCUCGUCGUCGAGGCCGAGGUGCCGUCCUCGGCGCUCUCCGACCACCUCCCGCUCGCGCCCUCGCCGGGGCACGGGCUGCUCCACCCCGCGGUCCGUAGAGGCGCCGCGCCGCACGUGCUCAUGCUCCAGAUCAACCGCUUCGCGUGCGGCGGGAUCGUCAUCGCCUCGUCGUCUCACCACCAGGUCGCCGACGGCCACUCCAUGACCAUGUUCUUCCACGCCUGGGCCGACGCCGUACGCGGCGACGGCCUCCACGUCGACUGCGCCCCCGUGCCGUACGGCCCCGCGGCCCUCGUGCCGCGCCGCCCGCCCCGCUGCGAGUUCGAGCACCGUGGUGCCGAAUUCCUGCCGCUAUCGCCGGCGCCUACGAACGACGACGGACGCGAGAGCAAGCCGCCGGCCGAGGUUGAUCAUCACGUCGACACUUCCGAGAUCACCAACAUGCUCCUUCACUACACGAGCGAGUUCGUGGCCGAGCUCAAGUGCGCCGCGCACAACAGGUACACGACCUUCGAGACUGUGUCAGCGCACGUCUGGCGGAAGAUUACCGCCGCGCGCGGGCUCGCCGACGGGGGCGACGCGCACACGUCGACACGCAUCGCGGUGAACGGCCGUGGCCGGCUGGCUGGAACGGGCGCCGUGCCGGCCGCGGGGUUCUUCGGGAACGUCGUGCUCACGGCGAUCUCCAGGACACGCGCGGCGGCCCUGGCCACCGGCACCCUCGCGGAUGCCGCGGCGCUGGUCCGCGCAGGGGUCCGCGCUGUCGACGGCGGGUACUUCCAGUCGUUCGUCGACUUCGGGGCGCUGCACGGUGACGAGGAUCUGGAGCCAGCGUGUGCGGACGAGGCCGGCGUGCUGUCGCUGGACGUGGAGGCCGACAGCUGGCUCCACCUGGACCUGCACCGGUUGGACUUUGGGUGCGGCGGGCGACUCGUCGGAAUCCUGCCGGGGAAGGUCCCGCAGGACGGGGUGGUGGUGCUGAUGCCCAGCCUGCGGAAAGGGGGAGGCAUCGACGUGUUCGUUGCGUUGUGGGAGAAGCAUGCCAGGGAGCUCAGCGCCAUUGCUUACGCUUAG
rnacentral:rRNA from 1 species